rnacentral:piRNA from 1 species
UUUGUUAUUCUUUUCAUGAAC